rnacentral:lncRNA from 1 species
GGAACAGCUGAGCAGUACCAAGUUUUGUUUCAUUUUGGUUUUCCUCUUGUUAGAGUUUCCGGGGUUGUCAUUUGGUCGAGCGUAUCCACAUGCUUCUAAUUAUGGUAUGAGAUUGUGGCUGGAUCCCGUUGUCCUUAACCAGAGUAGUGCUUGUUCUCCUGCAUUAUUGGACAGUUUGUAUCCAACGUGUAAAUAGAAUUUCUUAAGUCCAAUUCUAACCAUGGCAUACUUUUAUUAUAAACAAACCACAUCUGAUUGCACAUUAAACAAGGGUGCCGUUUUUGGUUGCUGGAACCGAAUACUUUAAAGAUGAAAAAAAAACAUGCCGAGGAAAAAAGAUAAGAAAAUUAAUGUUAUUUGAUUCAUAUGCGUCUUCAUUGUACUAGACAAUCAAC